GGGUUGCGUAGUUGCUGGUAGCAACGGGCCGCCGGAAAGCGGUUGCUGUUCUCGUUCGAUUCGAGAUUUAACCUGGGGGAAAUAACAAGAGGGUUCGAUUCCUUCCGCAACUCACCA
rnacentral:tRNA from 2 species